CGCGCGAGCAGAAGAGGGAAAAGCCCAAAUUUGUAAUCUGGCCCUUUCAGGGUCCGAGUUGUAAACUUGAGAACUGUUUUCUGUGCUGGACCAUGUAUAAAUCUGUUGGAAUACCACCUCCUUGAAGGGGAAAAUCCCGUUUAUGAAAUGGACCACCCAUGGUCCGUGAUACCAUCUCCAAAAAUCCAAUUGGUUGGGAAUGCCACUCCAAUUGGGUGGGAAAUUCCCUCCAAAGGUAAAUAUUGGUGAAAAAACCAAAGCCAACCAAUUCCGUGAAGGAAAGAAGAAAAAAACCUUGGAAAGAAAAUUAACCGUACCUGAAAUUGGUAAAAAGGAAACCCUUGAAAUUAAAACUGUUGAAUCCAGGUCCACCCUUUAAUUAGGGGGAAUCCCUGCCUUUACCGAACAACCUCCAUUUUAAAAGCCAGAAUAAGGUAUUGGAAAAGGGGCCACUUUGGUUGGUUUAAAGGCCUUUUCUUUUAAUAAUGCCUAAAUUGGGACUGCAGAAGCUGAUUUAUCAUGGGUCAAUGUUGACCUUCUACUAUGGAUGUUGGUGUAAUAGCUUUAAAUGACCCGU
rnacentral:rRNA from 1 species